rnacentral:rRNA from 1 species
GUUUUACCUUGACGAAUUGUAGUUUAAAGAAGUGUUUUCUGUUGGUGUUUUGGUAGAAGUUCUUUGGAAUAGGACAUCAUAGAGGGUGAGAAUCCCGUAUUUGACCAUUACUUCCAGCGUUGUGAUACACUUUCAAAGAGUCGGAUUGUUUGGGAAUGCAGUCCAAAAUGGGUGGUAAAUUUCAUCUAAAGCUAAAUAUUGGCGAGAGACCGAUAGCGAACAAGUACCGUGAGGGAAAGAUGAAAAGAACUUUGAAAAGAGAGUUAAACAGUACGUGAAAUUGUCAAAAGGGAAGCGUUUGACACCAGUGUUGUUUUCUCGAAAAUCAAUUAAAAAGAGUUGGAUUUUGUAUUGUUAAGACCUUAUCAGCUUACCGUACUUUUUUCUUGCUCUUUUU